rnacentral:tRNA from 2 species
GCGGCUGUGGUGGAACCGGUAGACACGCAUGCCUUAGGAGCAUGUGCCUUCGGGCGUGGGGGUUCGAGUCCCUCCAGCCGCACCA